UACGGAGGGUGCAAGCGUUAUCCGGAUUCACUGGGUUUAAAGGGUGUGUAGGCGGGUAUUUAAGUCAGUGGUGAAAUCUCCAGGCUCAACCUGGAAACUGCCAUUGAUACUAUUUAUCUUGAAUCCUGUUGAGGUGGGCGGAAUAUAUCAUGUAGCGGUGAAAUGCUUAGAUAUGAUAUAGAACACCGAUUGCGAAGGCAGCUCACUAAACAGGCAUUGACGCUGAGGCACGAAAGCGUGGGGAGCGAACAGG
rnacentral:rRNA from 1 species